GAUUGGUUCUGCCGUGGUAGGGUGUGCGUGAGGUGGAAGAAGGGCUGUUCCUCCACGGCACGGUGGAGGAGUUCUGAAGUCCUAAAGUUGGGGCAGGACCUGCAGCAUGGUCGGAGAAGGGGCAAGAGGCCCGGCGGGAAGAAGCAGCAAGAGUAAGACAAGUAGGUCAGGGCCUGCUUAGUACUGAGGGCCAGACGGCCAGAACGAGCGUCGGGAGACAGGAGGAGUGUCCGGGGUUUUCGCCCUCCUUUUUUCUCUUACCAAACCCAAAUGGUCCUGCUCCCCAGGUAGGCUGAGGAUACAGCAGAGAAAAUGUGUUUAGCCCCUUAAAGAGAUAGGGGGCUGUGGGUUUGCUAUUUUUAAGAAAGCAAACGGCUUUGGAGUCUAAAAGGCUAAGCUUCCUGCCCUCCCACUGAGGGUCUACCUGAGGAGGUCUAGACUUGCCUGCAAAGAAGGUAGACUUGAGGGUAAUAGUGGAAAGACAAGUAGCCCCUAUUCAUCGGCCUUCCUCACCCCCUUCUCUUGACUCCAGCUGUUGGCUUCUGUGUGACUAGGGAGAUCAGAGACCACUCACAGAGGCCUGAUCAAGAGAGAAGCUAACACAAAGGAGACCAAAGAUGAGAACCCUGAACUCUUAGCCCCUUUUUUUCCUUCAGUGGGUUCGUUGUCACUUUCAACCAAAAGAUUCCUGACUAAAGCAGACUUAGCAUACAGCAAGGCUCUGUCCUGUUUUGUCCCUGCUUACUUCAACCUCAUCUGGGUCACUCCACCCCCAGCUCCACAUUCCAACUAUUGGCAAGGUCUUCAGGAUCCUUGAACAUCUUAUCCGUCCCAUCAUCCCCCACACUUCAGGGACUUAAAUGCAUGGUUCUCUUGGGCUCUUUUAUAACCCAUGUUCCCCUCAUCACCUUCUACUUAACUUUGAGCAUUUGGCAGGAAUGUCAAUUCCUUAAGGAAGCUGCGCCUGACCAAGAACUAGAUCAGAUACUUUGUUAUAUGUUUCCAGAGCAUGUCCAAUGAAUAAAUGAAUCCACCUGAGGCAGUGGCUGCCUCUCUAGAUUAUGAAUCAACACAGUGCCUGGCAUAUUAUUAUAAGGGCUCAACAG
rnacentral:lncRNA from 1 species